rnacentral:tRNA from 1 species
GGGGAUAUGGUGGAAUGGUAGACACUGCAGACUUAAAAUCUGUUGGCAAUGCCGUGAGGGUUCAAAUCCCUCUAUCCCUA